AGUCGCACGCCCAGCAAUGGGAGUGGCGGACGGGUGAGUAACGCGUAGGAAUGUAUCCAGAGGUGGGGGACAACCCUGGGAAACUGGGGCUAAUACCGCAUAUGUCCUGAGGGACAAAGCCGUGAGGCGCCUUUGGAGCAGCCUGCGUCCGAUUAGGUAGUUGGUGGGGUAAUGGCCUACCAAGCCUGCGAUCGGUAGCUGGUCUGAGAGGACGACCAGCCACACUGGGACUGAGACACGGCCCAGACUCCUACGGGAGGCAGCAGUGGGGAAUAUUGGACAAUGGGCGCAAGCCUGAUCCAGCAAUGCCGCGUGGAUGAAGAAGGUCUUCGGAUUGUAAAGUCCUUUCGACGGGGACGAUGAUGACGGUACCCGUAGAAGAAGCCCCGGCUAACUUCGUGCCAGCAGCCGCGGUAAUACGAAGGGGGCUAGCGUUGCUCGGAAUUACUGGGCGUAAAGGGCGCGUAGGCGGCCCGACAAGUCAGGCGUGAAAUUCCUGGGCUCAACCUGGGGGCUGCGCUUGAGACUGUUGGGCUAGAGGCCGAGAGAGGGUGGUGGAAUUCCCAGUGUAGAGGUGAAAUUCGUAGAUAUUGGGAAGAACACCGGUGGCGAAGGCGGCCACCUGG
rnacentral:rRNA from 1 species